rnacentral:rRNA from 1 species
UUUGCGCCUGAGGAUGGGCCUGCGUCCGAUUAGGUUGUUGGUGGGGUAAUGGCCCACCAAGCCUGCGAUCGGUACGGGCAGUGAGAGCUGAAGCCCGGAGUUGGGGACUGAGACAAGGCCCCAGGCCCUACGGGGCGCAGCAGGCGCGAAACCUCUGCAAUGCGGGAAACCGUGACAGGGGGAUCCCAAGUGCUCAUGCAUUGCAUGGGCUGUUCUUUGGUCUAAGUAACCAGAGGAGUAAGGGCUGGGCAAGACCGGUGCCAGCCGCCGCGGUAAUACCGGCAGCUCAAGUGGUAGCCGCGAUUAUUGGGCCUAAAGCGUUCGUAGCCGGAUAAGUAAGUCUUUGGUUAAAUCCUGCGACUUAACCGUGGGAAAUCUAGAGAUACUGCUUGUCUUGAGACCGGGAGAGGUUGGAGGUACUCCCAGGGUAGGGGUGAAAUCCUGUAAUCCUGGGGGGACCACCUGUGGCGAAGGCGUCCAACUGGAACGGGUCUGACGGUGAGGGACGAAACCUAGGGGAGCGAGCCGGAUUAGAUACCCAGGUAGUCCUAGGCGUAAAUGAUGCGAGUUAAGUGUGGGGGCAUCUACGAGAUGGCCCUGUGCUGUAGGGUAGCCGUUAAACUCGCCGCCUGGGGAGUACGGUCGCAAGGCUGAAACUUAAAGGAAUUGGCGGGGGAGCACCACAAGAGGUGGAGGCUGCGGUUCAAUUGGAUUCAACGCCG